rnacentral:rRNA from 1 species
UCCAGACUCCUACGGGAGGCAGCAGUGGGGGAUAUUGCACAAUGGGGGGAACCCUGAUGCAGCGACGCCGCGUGGGUGAAGGAGCGUUUCGGCGCGUAAAGCCCUCUCGGCAGGGAAGAAGGAGGACGGUACCUGACUAAGAAGCCCCGGCUAACUACGUGUCAGCAGCCGCGGUAAUACGUAGGGGGCAAGCGUUAUCCGGGUUUACUGGGUGUAAAGGGGGCGCAGACGGCAGCGCAAGCCAGGAGUGAAAGCCCGGGGCCCAACCCCGGGACUGCUCUUGGAACUGCGCGGCUGGAGUGCAGGAGGGGCAGGCGGAAUUCCUGGUGUAGCGGUGAAAUGCGUAGAUAUCAGGAGGAACACCGGUGGCGAAGGCGGCCUGCUGGACGGCGACUGACGUUGAGGCCCGAAAGCGUGGGGAGCAAACAGGAUUAGAUACCCGAGUAAUA